rnacentral:lncRNA from 1 species
CGCCAGGGGAUGCAAACCCUUCUGCCCCUUUUUGCUACCCCUGAAGCUUACUGUUAGUGGUCGAGUUUUUCUGGAAGUGGGCUUCCGCGAUCGCGGGGACCAAAGCCCUGAGCUCUUGUGCCCAAAGGGGAUCGCCAGGUUUUUUGAUGCGGAUCGAAAGGGACUGGCCCCGGAGCCUACAACCUGACGCAGGUGGGACUUGGGGAAAUGUCGAGAAACCUAGGUCUGGGACUUGAGUUGGCUUCCAGGGCACACAUUCUUGUUCAGAAGAAACUCAUUGCAAAAAUCGGGAGGUGACAGGCAGAUGAAGUGUCGGCGCUUCGCCUCGGGACUCCAGUGCAACCUACGGGGCUUUUGGAAAGGAGGAAGUCGAUGACUCUGCAGGGACUCCUCUGACCCAGGAGCAGAUGGCGCUCGUCUGGGCACUCCCCAGGAGAAAAGGUGCAUCGGGAAGCAGCCUGACUUGUGGAUGGUGGACAAGGUGGAGGAGAGAGAAUUCCUUGGCAGCAGCAUUAUGAACAAAUGCAGGGCUGAGAAACAGCAUGGUGGCCUUGACUAAGUUUAUGGCGACAGCAGAUGGAGUCUUGCUCUGUCGCCCAGGCUAGAGUGCAGUGGCGCGAUCUCAGCUCACUGAAACCUCUGCCUCCCGGGUUCAAGUGAUUCUCCUGCCUCCGC